rnacentral:lncRNA from 1 species
CGUCGUGACGGCGAGUGCUCGACGUCUGCCGUUGUCGACAUUGUUCUCGACGGAGUUUCGGAAACCGUAGACCAGAUGCUAGGGAACGCCUUCUGCUGGAACCGUACCGACUACGUCAGAAUUCAGGUAUAUUUUAUUUCGAAUCAAAUCUGUGUUUGCUUCCUGAGAAAAUGUAGGAAAAUAAGGACGAAAAAAAAAGGAAUAAAAGCUUUGAAUUUCAGAAAUACCAUUCAUUCUUUGCCACUCGUAUCUGCUUAAUACUCAGUCCAGUCUCUUCACAAAAUGCAGUACAACAAAUAGAUCAUAUCAAUGAUUCAGGUCUCAUUGUCUCGCUUUUUCUUUUUAUUUCCAUUUGUAAUUCGGCUAGCUGUGACUAAAGGAAGGAGUUAAAUUGCAGG